AUGUUGGGAAAUGUUGAGAAUGAUAAAAGUCUUCCCUGCCGACCCUGGAGGAUCCUCCCCCGUGUUAACUCCCCCACUGAAGCAGGAAGUAGCAGCUGCCGCCAAGACCAGCGAACCCAGGCCUGAUUUAUUCAGUCCAGGAGGAACAAGGCAGACCAACCCAAAACACACCUUAGUCACAGUCUGGACCGAGCCCAGACCCUGACCCUGACCCUGACCCUGACCUUGACCCAAAACCAGCAAAAACAACUGAGAUUCAACCAAAACUAUAAUCAAAUGUAAUUCAUGUAUGAAGACGAUUGUGUCUCAGUGUCAGAGUCAAGAAUCUAUGGAUGAGGCGUGGACGAAGACGAGGACUGGGACCAAUUAGAGGAGAGCAGUGGAGGUCAUAUGUGACAAGAACCAGAUGUUUCAGAUAGAAACCACCGAAGCAGAGUGGUAGAGAUAAAGCU